rnacentral:rRNA from 1 species
UACGUAGGGUGCGAGCGUUAAUCGGAAUUACUGGGCGUAAAGCGUGCGCAGGCGGUUCGUUGUGUCGGCGGUGAAAUCCCCGGGCUCAACCUGGGAAUGGCCGUUGAAACUGGCGAACUGGAGUGUGGCAGAGGGGGGUGGAAUUCCGAGUGUAGAGGUGAAAUUCGUAGAUAUUCGGAAGAACACCAGUGGCGAAGGCGACUUACUGGACACAUAUUGACGCUGAGGUGCGAAAGCGUGGGGAGCAAACAGG